rnacentral:rRNA from 1 species
CACGUAGGGGGCAAGCGUUGUCCGGAUUUAUUGGGCGUAAAGAGCUCGUAGGCUGUUCGGUAAGUCGGGUGUGAAACCCCCAGGCUCAACCUGGGGACGCCACCUGAUACUGCUGUGACUCGAGUCCGGUAGGGGAGCGUGGAAUUCCUGGUGUAGCGGUGAAAUGCGCAGAUAUCAGGAGGAACACCAGCGGCGAAGGCGGCGCUCUGGGCCGGUACUGACGCUGAGGAGCGAAAGCGUGGGGAGCGAACAGG